rnacentral:rRNA from 1 species
GUUUGAUCCUGGCUCAGGACGAACGCUGGCGGCGUGCCUAACACAUGCAAGUCGAGCGAAGUAUUUACAAAGAUUUCUUCGGAAUGAAUUGUAAAUCACUUAGCGGCGGAUGGGUGAGUAAUGCGUGAGGAACCUGCCUUCUACAAGGGGAUAGCCUCGGGAAACCGGGAUUAAUACCCUAUGACACUUUCAAUUCACAUGAAUUAAAAGUUAAAGCGAUUUAGCGGUAGAAGAUGGCCUCACGUCCCAUUAGCUAGUUGGUGAGGUAAUAGCUCACCAAGGCUACGAUGGGUAGCCGGCCUUGAGAGAGGGGUGGAACGGCCACAUUGGAACUGAGAACACGUCCAGACUCCUACGGGAGGCAGGCAGUGGGGAAUAUGCACAAUGGAGGAAACUCUGAUGCAGCGACGCCGCGUGGAGCGAUGAAGGUCUUCGGAUCGUAAAGCUCUGUCCUAAGGGACGAUAAUGACGGUACCUUAGGAGGAAGCCCCGGCUAACUACGUGCCCAGCAGCCGCGGUAAUACGUAGGGGGCGAGCGUUGUCCGGGAUUUAUUGGGCGUAAAGGGUGCGUAGGCGGCCUUGUAAGUCAGAUGUGAAAGACUAUGGCUUAACUGUGGUAAGCAUUUGAAACUGCAGGGCUUGAGUACAGGAUAGGAGAGUGGAGUUCCUAGUGUAGCGGUGAAAUGCGUAGAUAUUAGGAGGAAUACCAGUGGCGAAGGCGACUCUCUGGACUGUAACUGACGCUGAGGCACGAAAGCGUGGGGAGCAAACAGGAUUAGAUACCCUGGUAGUCCACGCUGUAAACGAUGAGUGCUAGGUGUCGGGGGUCAAACCUCGGUGCCGCAGUUAACACAUUAAGCACUCCGCCUGGGGAGUACGGCCGCAAGGCUGAAACUCAAAGGAAUUGACGGGGACCCGCACAAGCAGCGGAGCAUGUGGUUUAAUUCGAAGCUACGCGAAGAACCUUACCAGGGCUUGACAUCCCUCGGACCGAACUAGAGAUAGUUCUUUCCCUUCGGGGACUGAGGAGACAGGUGUGCAUGGUUGUCGGUCAGCUCGUGUCGUGAGAUUGUUUGGGUUAAGUCCCCGCAACGAGCGCAACCCUUGCCUUUAGUUGCCAAACAGUUAGCUGUGCACCUCCUAGAGGGACUGCCGAUGAUAAUCGGAGAGGUGGGGCAUGCACGUUCAAAUCCAUCAUGCCCUUUAUGUCCUGGGCUACACACGUGCUACAAUGGUCAAUACAACGGGCAGCUAUCUCGUGAGAGUGAGCAAAUCCCACAAAAUUGAUCCCAGUUCGGAUUGUAGGCUGCAACUCGCCUACAUGAAGCCGGAGUUGCUAGUAAUCGCAAAUCAGAAUGUUGCGGUGAAUGCGUUCCCGGGUCUUGUACACACCG